rnacentral:rRNA from 1 species
UACAGAGGGUGCAAGCGUUAAUCGGAGUUACUGGGCGUAAAGGGCGCGUAGGCGGUCAUGCAAGUGAGAUGUGAAAUCCCCGGGCUUAACCUGGGAACUGCAUUUUAGACUGUGUGACUGGAGUACUGUAGAGGAUAGUGGAAUUUCCGGUGUAGCGGUGAAAUGCGUAGAGAUCGGAAGGAACACCAGUGGCGAAGGCGACUGUCUGGACAGAUACUGACGCUGAGACGCGAAAGCGUGGGGAGCGAACAGG